UCAUUGUACAAUAAAUUACACUGCAAUCUGGUGGCAAACGUGGGAAUUAUGCCACGACCAACCGCAUGUAAACCAUGUAAACAAAACAGAUUUCAAAAUCCCACUUUCGACGUUAUUAAAAUAACUGGGCAGACACUGCUAAAUUAAUUAAGGUAAUCAAAAGGAAAGGAAGAUAUAUUACUUGUUCUUGCUUGAAACCAUAAACUUCAGAAGUCGUUUGCCCCUGUAUUUAAGAAAUCUGCACUCUCAGAUUUAUGGUUGUACAUCAUGGAGGAACUUAUGACCCUGGACAGUACAUGCUCGGGUGCAAAGGAAUGCUGGACUGAGACCAUAACCAUCCAGGGUGACAGCGUGCUACGUCAACAGGCAGGCUGCGACCUCUACGCAAACAGAGUACUGCUGCCGAGUGGCAUGCAAUAGAAUGUGGAUUAUAGCUUGUAAGGUCGGUGACUAUGGGGAGUUGAAUAUCAAAGCUGUGUACCAGUUG